UUCCUUGAACCGCAUGGUUCAAGGAUGAAAGACGGUUUCGGCUGUCACUUACAGAUGGACCCGCGGCGCAUUAGCUAGUUGGUGGGGUAAUGGCUCACCAAGGCGACGAUGCGUAGCCGACCUGAGAGGGUGAUCGGCCACACUGGGACUGAGACACGGCCCAGACUCCUACGGGAGGCAGCAGUAGGGAAUCUUCCGCAAUGGACGAAAGUCUGACGGAGCAACGCCGCGUGAGUGAUGAAGGUUUUCGGAUCGUAAAGCUCUGUUGUUAGGGAAGAACAAGUGCGAGAGUAACUGCUCGCACCUUGACGGUACCUAACCAGAAAGCCACGGCUAACUACGUGCCAGCAGCCGCGGUAAUACGUAGGUGGCAAGCGUUGUCCGGAAUUAUUGGGCGUAAAGGGCUCGCAGGCGGUUUCUUAAGUCUGAUGUGAAAGCCCCCGGCUCAACCGGGGAGGGUCAUUGGAAACUGGGAAACAUUGAGUGCAGAAGAGGAGAGUGGAAUUCCACGUGAUAGCGGUGAAAUGCAGUAGAGAUGUGGAGGAACACCAGUGGCGAAGGCGACUCUCUGGUCUGUAACUGACGCU
rnacentral:rRNA from 1 species